UGCGAACAAGGGCAUAGCUGUCUAAAGACAGUGACGCAAAGCUAUAGGAUCUAAGUUACUUGAUGUAAUAUGAUAGCCAGUUGCAAUU
rnacentral:ncRNA from 1 species